UACGUAGGGUGCAAGCGUUAAUCGGAAUUACUGGGCGUAAAGCGUGCGCAGGCGGUUGUGCAAGACCGAUGUGAAAUCCCCGGGCUUAACCUGGGAAUGGCAUUGGUGACUGCACGGCUAGAGUGUGUCAGAGGGGGGUAGAAUUCCACGUGUAGCAGUGAAAUGCGUAGAGAUGUGGAGGAAUACCGAUGGCGAAGGCAGCCCCCUGGGAUAACGCUGACGCUCAUGCACGAAAGCGUGGGGAGCAAACAGG
rnacentral:rRNA from 1 species